rnacentral:misc_RNA from 1 species
GAUGAUGACUGUUGUGAAAUAUGUAACCAAGACAGUGAAACUCCUUCGCACAUCAUCUUCCACUGCCCGUUUGCACGCCAAUUUUGGAGCUCCAUCGGAUUCUCUGUCGCUGAUGAUCUGGGCACCCAGGACCUGCCAAACAUCAGUCGCCCUGAUCGCCUUCCGGGUGCAGAAUUCAACUCCUUUGUCCUCCUCUGCUGCUGGCAAUUGUGGAAACGCAGAAAUGGUGUCGUCUUCCGUCAGGAUCAUGCCACUCUUGCGGCCACUUUGCAUUCAUGCGCUUCUGAAGCAAAAGCUUGGGCGUACAGGCACAACAGGAAAGAGGCACAAGUAUUAGGUGCUUGG